rnacentral:rRNA from 1 species
GACGGAGGAUGCAAGCGUUAUCCGGAAUGAUUGGGCGUAAAGCGUCUGCAGGUGGCAGUUCAAGUCUGCUGUCAAAGACCGGGGCUUAACUUCGGAAAGGCAGUGGAAACUGAACAGCUAGAGUAUGGUAGGGGCAGAGGGAAUUCCUGGUGUAGCGGUGAAAUGCGUAGAGAUCAGGAAGAACAUCGGUGGCGAAGGCGGUUCUCUGGGCCUUACCUGACGCUGAGGAGCGAAAGCAUGGGGAGCGAACAGG